UUGUGCAAAACCGAAAACGCGCGUUGUCCCAGCCCACCCACCGUAUCCACACCGAUCUCUCUCUCUCGACCAGGCGAUGCGCUAGGGUUAGCGCUUCAUGCCGCCGCCCAUGGUCCGAUCACCGGCAGCCGUGGACGUCGCCUCCCUGCCUCCCCACCGGCACCCUGCUGCAAGGGGCUUCUCCCCUCGACAUUGACGCCCCGCUAGCGGCCUCCCUCCUUGACGCCGUCUCCCACACGCCCCAUGACGCUACCUCCCCACGCACUGAGUAUCUCGCGAACGACCUCGCCCGUAUCUUCCUCCACGCUGCAGUCGACGACACCCGACAAUUCGUCCCCAUUGAUUCCACGCCCGUCUCCUAGCCACUGCUCUCGAGUUCAAUGCGUCAAAUGAGAAAGGGAGAUGAUGUUGGGUAGCAAGGGCAACAGGACUUCAAUGCGGCGGCGACUUGAAGCCUUGGGCUACAGGUCGAGGCCUUCUGGCAGCGCUACUACAUGCGGCCUGUCGGCUCCGGUGGCGGCAUGUUUGGCAUCACCAGCACCUUCAUCGGCAUAUCCGAGAGCAGGCCGUGGUGGCUGCAGUGAGGGUGCGUGCGGCAGAGCAGAUGGCGUUCUGAAGAGCUACUACACCUUGGAUCCCGAUCCCUCGCUGAAGGUGCUCGAUCUUGGUGUUUGAAUGCUGCUACCGUACAGCAAGGUCUGUAGCAGCUUUUGCAAUGGAUUCCUUUUUAUGAUGGUAGAGUUUAUUUUGGUUUAGAUUUGGUAUUGUUGUUCUGUCCACUUAACCCAGUCUAUAGCAACAGAUUUUGAUGUCGUUUCCUUGCCGACAAAGGUCAUAACUUAUCACGUCUGCAAAUGAUUUUUUGGCUGUAGUAUGAAUAGAGAAGUUCGGUCAGAUGCAAGGCAUGCUUAGCAUCUCAUAGUCAUAGGCUACUCCGUUUUAACAUUGCAGCCAUCCAGGUUUUCAGUUUAAGAGAUGAUUUGGAAACUCAUCAGCAUAGAAAAUUAUUUACUCUAAUGCAGAUUACAUAUUAAGGCCUUAAUUCUUUUAUAUUUGUUUUUUUUCGAGAAUGAGUUCUUUUAUAUUUGUGCUCGUACUAGGCAAUAUAAGGUCUCCAGUGCAAGCAUUAUCCAUCUUUAGCUGCUCAUAAGCAGUAUCCAGUUGAGGACAGGUACACUCUUGCUAAGGUUAAUCUUUGAUAUAUAUAAUUCGUUGCCCAGAUAUAGUUUGCAGGUGUAUUUCCCCCCUUUUGAUCAAGAUUUCUGCAGUGCAGAAUGGCUAUUUGCAAGUGUGUUCCGGAACAAUGGCAUGGAGACAAGAGAUGGCAUCUUACGUUAAGUCUAUAGAUAUUGUGCCCCUCGUGGAGAUUAGUGUUGAAGGGUAUUAUGGUCCGUCUACUCUGGAACUUUUGCUCGUCAUCCCAGAUGAUUAUUCAGGGCAUGUUGGAACGGACUUCGUUAGGAACCAUCAAGCAUUGUGAAUUGAUUUAGCUUCAGUUCAAAUCUAUUCAGGCACUUGGGCCGAGCUUAGGAUUUUUUUUGCUAGGUUACCUGAAUCAACAGAGGAAAGUCACGUUCAAUUUGUGAACACUUGGAUGCAACAACAUAUCCACAUUCUGCUAUAUCAUCAGAAAGCAAAAACCAUGAGAGGCCACAAUAAUCAUCAAGGGAUUUCUGAAACGAGUAGAAGAUUAAUAACUUCUACGACAUCAAAGAUCUCUGUGCUUUUAGAGUAUGCACCAUAUUGAUUUACUUAUUGAUUUAUUCACACUGUAUCAGAUUUUCCUUGAAUGUGAUACUUUAUUGAUUGCACCGAACACUGGAAGCAAACUGCUUUCUUAAUUCAGGAUUAUCCUGCACCAAUUUCUGUAUAAGUUCUCCUUGAUACCAAUUUGCAUACUUGCAACUGGAAUUCGAGACACAUAUAAUUCAUAAUGAAAAUAUAUACGAGUA